rnacentral:rRNA from 1 species
UACGUAGGGGGCUAGCGUUGUCCGGAUUUAUUGGGCGUAAAGAGCGUGUAGGCGGCCAGGUAGGUCUGCUGUGAAAACUCGAGGCUCAACCUCGAGACGUCGGCGGAAACCAUCUGGCUAGAGUCCGGAAGAGGAGAGUGGAAUUCCUGGUGUAGCGGUGAAAUGCGCAGAUAUCAGGAAGAACACCCGUGGCGAAGGCGGCCAACUGGGCCGGUUCUGACGCUGAGGCGCGAAAGCGUGGGGAGCGAACAGG